UACGUAGGGUGCAAGCGUUGUCCGGAAUUAUUGGGCGUAAAGAGCUCGUAGGCGGUCUGUCGCGUUGUUCGUGAAAACCGGGGGCUUAACCCUCGGCGUGCGGGCGAUACGGGCAGACUUGAGUACUGCAGGGGAGACUGGAAUUCCUGGUGUAGCGGUGGAAUGCGCAGAUAUCAGGAGGAACACCAGUGGCGAAGGCGGUGCUCUGGGCCGGAACUGACGCUGAGGAGCGAAAGCGUGGGGAGCAAACAGG
rnacentral:rRNA from 1 species